GCUAUUUGCACAAGGUUAUGGAAUGAGGAGCUCCUGCACCACGCAUGCCUUCCUCAUGCAGUUAGUAUAAGAGUCCAAAGAAAGAAGCGGUUGAAAAGCACUUCAGAAAUUCUCAAACCCUGCACCAAUGUAAGGAACUACAGAACUGCAGGAGGCUUUACUCCCUUGUUGGUUAAUCACUUUUCAAAUGUGUUCCUUGUUCAGGUAAAUGUGACAUCUGCUUUUUGUUUGUUACCUGUCUACUGGGAACCAUGUGUUGGUCAUUUCAUCAGUAACACAAAUUUAAUAAAUGUUCACAAAAUUAAAUGUAUUAGUCAUUUAUUCAUUUAACCAGGAAUUCCUGAGCA
rnacentral:lncRNA from 10 species